UACGGGGGGAGCAAGCGUUGUUCGGAUUUACUGGGCGUAAAGGGCGCGUAGGCGGUCAGCACAAGUCAGUUGUGAAAUCUCCGGGCUUAACUCGGAAAGGUCAACUGAUACUGUGCGACUAGAGUGCGGAAGGGGCAACUGGAAUUCUCGGUGUAGCGGUGAAAUGCGCAGAUAUCAGGAGGAACACCGAUGGCGAAGGCGGGUCUCUGGGCAGUAACUGACGCUGAGGAGCGAAAGCGUGGGGAGCGAACAGG
rnacentral:rRNA from 1 species